CAAACAUAUCCUCAAAGAGCACUAAAACUCUGGAGGCUGCAACGAGUAUUCUGGCCUGGCCUCGUGACUGAAGUAAGAGAACCAGGAAACAGUUCAUGUAAUACAUAGCUGUCCAGAGGACAGAGCUAGUUAGACCUUUGAAAGCCUAUCCAACUUGGAAAGACUGGGUCUGUUUCAUGCCUGAAGUAUUCAUUUGCACCUUGUCAGACCUUGUAUCCCUGGAUUUAUUUCUUCUGGGUUUUAGCACAAUCCAAAUGUCCACCCCUUUAAUCCUCAUUGGUUAGCUUAGAUAAGCCUUCAUGCUUACCCCUAACUGAUCCUGCUUAGUGCGUGAUCUCCACGGGGCCACCUCUGGGGCUGUGAACUUACUGAUGUCCAUCUUUGUAUUGACGACAAAGUGUGCCUUCUCGUACAAAAAGCCUGUGCCUACUAUUCCCUCGCUGAUGACUUCAGUGUUUUACUUCCCUGGACAUGACGAAUUCUCUUUCUUCACUGGAGGUGUUUGUGAAGGGGGAGCAAAGCUGGCUGAGGUUAAAUAGCGGUGAGCUGUUUUGUGUGACCUGAGGGAGAAUAAGAACUCUCUCUCCUCAAAUGUCACAUCUCAGCCCCUACUCUGUUGGGCAGGGAGCCCAGAAGGCCUGAAAUUAAUGGGAGAUUAACCAGCAAGAGAGACCAUGAAGCAAAAGCUUGGAAACCAACUCAGGAAUAGCAUGGUCCAAGCAUGGUGACCCAUCCCAAAGAACAACCAGUGACACAGUCCAAAGACCAAAGCCAGGACUCCACCAGAGGAGGUGAGAGAUCCAGAGGGUAAGCCCAAAAACACAGCUGGUGUCCAGAAGGAAGAACAACAGGUUCAAAGUGAGGUUGGCACGCAGAUCAAAGUUAGUCCAUCAUCACAGAGCGCCCCUUCCCUAAUAUUACGGUUAUGAUCCCCAGCAUCUUGUUCAGGGACUCAAUCUGAGAUCCUUGAGCUUGUGUGUGUGUGUGUGUGUGUGUGUGUA
rnacentral:lncRNA from 1 species